rnacentral:rRNA from 1 species
CCUACGGGAGGCAGCAGUAAGGAAUAUUGGUCAAUGGUGGCAACACUGAACCAGCCAUGCCGCGUGCAGGAUGAAGGUUCUAUGAAUUGUAAACUGCUUUUAUACGGGAAAAAACUUUCGAACGUGUUCGGAACUGAUGGUACCGUAAGAAUAGGGAUCGGCUAACUUCGUGCCAGCAGCCGCGGUAAGACGAAGGAUCCAAGCGUUAUCCGGAUUUAGUUAGGGUUUAAAGGGUGCGUAGGCGGUACUUGUAAGUCAGCGGUGAAACGCCCGAUGCUUAACAUCGGAACUGCCAUUGAUACUGCAAGUCUUGAAUAUGUUUGAAGUGGGCGGAAUGUGUCGUGUAGCGGUGAAAUGCUUAGAUAUGACACAGAACACCGAUUGCGAAGGCAGCUCACUAAACCAUUAUUGACGCUGAGGCACGAAAGCGUGGGGAGCAAACAGGAUUAGAUACCCUGGUAGUCCACGCCCUAAACGUUGAAUACUCGAUGUGUGCGAUACACUGUACGCGUCCAAGAGAAAUCGUUAAGUAUUCCACCUGGGGAGUGCUGCAAGAGUAGAAUUAGAAGAUUGACGNGNGAGAGNGCGAGACGACGACGAGGGAGGAGG